AAUGCCUUAGAUAUGCUCUGAGCUCCAUCAGGGGUAUGCGAAAGUCAAAUGAGAUUCACACAUCCAAGAAACCUGAACAGACAAGGAAUUAACAAAAGCUUGCAUCUCUAUGGCAGCCUAUUGAAAGAUUGGGAAGUGGAAGCAUGGAGAGGGAAGCUUCAGAUAGAAAGAGAAACAGCUAAUAGAGUGACAGGAUGGUGGAAGCAGAAGUUGGAGUGAUGCAUUUUGAAAAUCGAGGAAGUGACCACAAGCCAAGGAAUGUAAAUAUCCACUAAAAACUGAAAAUGGCAAGGAAUUGGAUGCUUCCCUCAGAGCCUCCAGGAAGAACCAGCCUUACCAAUAUCUUGACAUUAGCCUGGAGAAAUUUCUGGCUCAUGUAUUUUGAAGUCUUUGGAAUUUCUGUUGUUGGAUGCUCUGAAAUAUGUCAGCAGCAGGACUUGUAGAAAGAACACUACAAGAGGCAUGUGAAAGCUUGUGCUUCUAGCUCUGAUUUUGAUACUGUUACCUGCAAGCUGAGAAACCUCAAUUUUUUUGAAUUUCUACUUGAGAUGUAUAAAGCACAGACACCUUUUUGUCUACUUGCAGCAUUAAUAUAAGGAUCAAGAAGGCUAAUAUAUAAGAUCAUUUUCAAAACUGUAAUGGAUUCUACAAAAUAAAUGUUACUAUGAUAAAAUA